rnacentral:tRNA from 1 species
GGAGGUGUAGUUGGGUUGGUAGAGCGCUUGCCUAGCAUGUACGAGGCCCUGGGUCCAAUCCCCAGUACCACCA